GACGAGCCACACAAACGUUAUUCGGAAUUACUGGGCUUAAAGGGUGCGUAGGCGGCGCGGAAAGUUGGGUGUGAAAGCCCUCGGCUCAACCGAGGAAUUGCGCCCAAAACUACCGUGCUUGAGGAAGAUAGAGGUGAGCGGAACUCAGGGUGGAGCGGUGAAAUGCGUUGAUAUCCUGAGGAACACCGGUGGCGAAGGCAGGUCUCUGGGCCAUAACUGACGCUGAGAAGCGAAAGCAUGGGGAGCGAACAGG
rnacentral:rRNA from 1 species